AAUGAACGCUGGCGGCAGGCCUAACACAUGCAAGUCGAGCGAGCGGCGGACGGGUGAGUAAUGUCUGGGAAACUGCCGGAUGGAGGGGGAUAACUACGGGAAACGGUAGCUAAUACCGCAUACCAUCAGAUGUGCCCAGAUGGGGUUAGCUAGUAGGUGGGGUAAUGGCCCACCUAGGCGACGAUCCCUAGCUGGCCUGAGAGGAUGACCAGCCACACUGGAACUGAGACACGGUCCAGACUCCUACGGGAGGCAGCAGUGGGGAAUAUUGCACAAUGGGCGAAAGCCUGAUGCAGCCAUGCCGCGUGUGUGAAGAAGGUCUUCGGGUUGUAAAGCACUUUCGGCGAGGAGGCGUUACUCGCAGAAGAAGCACCGGCUAACUCCGUGCCAGCCGCCGCGGUAAUUC
rnacentral:rRNA from 1 species